UUAAAAGCACUCGUAGUUGGAUAUUUGUUGAGAACUGCCGGUCUACCCCAGUGGUCAGCACACGGUCUGUUCUCGGCACUUUCCUGGGGAGAGUGGUUGCACUUCACUGUGUGGCACAUGAUCCAGAACUUUUACUUUGAGGAAAUGAGAGUGUUUCUAGACAGGCGCCUGUCGUGAAUACGUUAGCAUGGAAUAAUAGCAUGGGACCGCGGUCUGAAGCUGUUGGUUUUUGGGCCGUGGUAAUGAAAAUAGGGAUAGUUGGGGGUAUUCGUAUUUAACUGUCAGAGGUGAAAUUCUUGGAUUUUUUAAAGACGGACUACUGCGAAAGCAUCUGCCCAGGAUGUUUUUAUUGAUCAAGAACGAAAGUUAGGGGAUCGAAGACGAUCGGAUACCGUCCUAGUCUUAACCUAAACCAUGCCGACUAGAAGAUUUGGGUCGUCGAAUCGUGAC
rnacentral:rRNA from 1 species